UCCAAGGCUGGGUCAUAAAGGCAUUGUACUUCUGCCUUGCUAUCACUUGGAUCACUUACCUGAGGGAAACCAGCCACCAAGUCAAGAGGACAUUUCACUAGCCUUGUGAAGAGGCCCAGAUGGUAAAGAACCAAAGCUCCUUCCAACAGCCAGGUGAUGAGCCAUCUUGGCUCCAUCUUGGGAGAAGAUCUUCCAGCCCCAUCAUAGCCUUCAUAUGAUGUGGCCCUGAGUGACAUCUUGACUGCACCUCAUGAUAGACUCUGGGCCAGAAUACCCAGCUAAGCUACUCCAAAUCCCUGACCCACAGAGAAAUGAUUAAUUCAUCCCCCAGCCCCUUUCAAAUAGCUAGUCCAGGAUAUGAUCAUCGCCCCCCAAGAGUGGGAUGUGACAAGACAGAAAAAAGUCAUUCUGGUGAAUUUAUGAACAGAUUCCUCCUUGCUGAAAUGGAUGUUUUGAAAGCAGAAUCAACAAGACUUGGAGGUCAUAUGGAUGAUGGGGUGGUGAGGAGGAGAAAGUUUCUUCUCCCUUUAAGAGAUUUAUUUCCCAAACACCCCAGGCUAGUCUGCAAAGUUCUCCUUCCUCCCCCUGGUGUUCUCCUCUCAUGGCCUUGUAACAGGUUCAAUUGUUCUUACCCACUCAAUUAAUGA